CCCCUAGUAACGGCGAGUGAAGCGGGAACAGCUCAAAUUUGAAAUCUGGCCUUCGGGUCCGAAUUGUAAUUUGCAGAGGAUGCUUUUGGUUAGGUACUUUCCGAGUUCCCUGGAACGGGACGCCUUAGAGGGUGAGAGCCCCGUACGGUUGGAUACCGAGCCUUUGUAAAGCUCCUUCGACGAGUCGAGUAGUUUGGGAAUGCUGCUCUAAAUGGGAGGUAAAUUUCUUCUAAAGCUAAAUACCGGCCAGAGACCGAUAGCGCACAAGUAGAGUGAUCGAAAGAUGAAAAGCACUUUGAAAAGAGGGUUAAAUAGCACGUGAAAUUGUUGAAAGGGAAGCGUUUAUGACCAGACUUUUUCCAGGCGAAUCAUCCGGUGUUCUCGCCGGUGCACUUCGUCUGGUUGAGGCCAGCAUCGGUUUCCGUGGGGGGAUAAAAGCGGUGGGAAUGUGACUCCUCCGGGAGUGUUAUAGCCCGCCGUAUAAUACCUCCAUGGGGACCGAGGUUCGCGCAUUGCAAGGAUGCUGGCGUAAUGGUCAUCAACGACCCGUCUUGAAACACGGACCAAGGAGUCGAACAUUUGUGCAAGUGUUUGGGUGUUAAACCCUCACGCGUAAUGAAAGUGAACGGAGGUGAGAGCCCUUACGGGUGCAUCAUCGACCGAUCCUGAUGUUUUCGGAUGGAUUUGAGUAAGAGCAUAACUGUUCGGACCCGAAAGAUGGUGAACUAUGCGUGGAUAGGGUGAAGCCAGAGGAAACUCUGGUGGAGGCUCGCAGCGGUUCUGACGUGCAAAUCGAUCGUCAAAUCUGCGCAUGGGGGCGAAAGACUAAUCGAACCAUCUAGUAGCUGGUUACCGCCGA
rnacentral:rRNA from 1 species